GAUGAACGCUGACAGAAUGCUUAACACAUGCAAGUCAACUUGAAUUUGGGUUUUUAACUUAGGUUUGGGUGGCGGACGGGUGAGUUACGCGUAAAGAACUUGCCUCACAGCUAGGGACAACAUUUGGAAACGAAUGCUAAUACCUAAUAUUAUGAUAAUAGGGCAUCCUAUAAUUAUGAAAGCUAUAAGCGCUGUGAGAGAGCUUUGCGUCCCAUUAGCUAGUUGGAGAGGUAACGGCUCACCAAGGCGAUGAUGGGUAGCCGGCCUGAGAGGGUGAUCGGCCACAAGGGGACUGAGACACGGCCCUUACUCCUACGGGAGGCAGCAGUGGGGAAUAUUGGACAAUGGACCGAGAGUCUGAUCCAGCAAUUCUGUGUGCACGAUGAAGUUUUUCGGAAUGUAAAGUGCUUUCAGUUGGGAAGAAACAAAUGACGGUACCAACAGAAGAAGUGACGGCUAAAUACGUG
rnacentral:rRNA from 1 species